rnacentral:rRNA from 1 species
AGAGUUUGAUCCUGGCUCAGGACGAACGCUGGCGGCGCGCCUAACACAUGCAAGUCGAACGGAGCUUAGAGAGCUUGCUUUUUAAGCUUAGUGGCGAACGGGUGAGUAACGCGUGAGUAACCUGCCCUAGAGUGGGGGACAACAGUUGGAAACGACUGCUAAUACCGCAUAAGCCCACGGUACCGCAUGGUACUGAGGGAAAAGGAUUUAUUCGCUUUAGGAUGGACUCGCGUCCAAUUAGCUAGUUGGUGAGGUAACGGCCCACCAAGGCGACGAUUGGUAGCCGGACUGAGAGGUUGAACGGCCACAUUGGGACUGAGACACGGCCCAGACUCCUACGGGAGGCAGCAGUGGGGAAUAUUGCACAAUGGGGGAAACCCUGAUGCAGCGACGCCGCGUGGAGGAAGAAGGUCUUCGGAUUGUAAACUCCUGUUGUUGGGGAAGAUAAUGACGGUACCCAACAAGGAAGUGACGGCUAACUACGUGCCAGCAGCCGCGGUAAAACGUAGGUCACAAGCGUUGUCCGGAAUUACUGGGUGUAAAGGGAGCGCAGGCGGGAAGACAAGUUGGAAGUGAAAUCUAUGGGCUCAACCCAUAAACUGCUUUCAAAACUGUUUUUCUUGAGUAGUGCAGAGGUAGGCGGAAUUCCCGGUGUAGCGGUGGAAUGCGUAGAUAUCGGGAGGAACACCAGUGGCGAAGGCGGCCUACUGGGCACCAACUGACGCUGAGGCUCGAAAGUGUGGGUAGCAAACAGGAUUAGAUACCCUGGUAGUCCACACCGUAAACGAUGAUUACUAGGUGUUGGAGGAUUGACCCCUUCAGUGCCGCAGUUAACACAAUAAGUAAUCCACCUGGGGAGUACGACCGCAAGGU